rnacentral:rRNA from 1 species
AUACGGAGGGUGCAAGCGUUAUCCGGAAUCACUGGGUUUAAAGGGUGCGUAGGCGGCUCAAUCAGUCAGGGGUGAAAUCUUGUAGCUUAACUGUAAAAUUGCCUUUGAUACUGUUGAGCUUGAAUUAGGUUGAGGUUGGCGGAAUGUGACAUGUAGCGGUGAAAUGCAUAGAUAUGUCAUAGAACACCAAUUGCGAAGGCAGCUGGCUAGACCUUAAUUGACGCUGAGGCACGAAAGCGUGGGGAGCGAACAGGAUUAGAAACCCCGGUAGUCC